rnacentral:rRNA from 1 species
CCUGAUGGAGGGGGAUAACUACUGGAAACGGUAGCUAAUACCGCAUAACGUCGCAAGACCAAAGAGGGGGACCUUCGGGCCUCUUGCCAUCGGAUGUGCCCAGAUGGGAUUAGCUUGUUGGUGGGGUAACGGCUCACCAAGGCGACGAUCCCUAGCUGGUCUGAGAGGAUGACCAGCCACACUGGAACUGAGACACGGUCCAGACUCCUACGGGAGGCAGCAGUGGGGAAUAUUGCACAAUGGGCGCAAGCCUGAUGCAGCCAUGCCGCGUGUAUGAAGAAGGCCUUCGGGUUGUAAAGUACUUUCAGCGGGGAGGAAGGGAGUAAAGUUAAUACCUUUGCUCAUUGACGUUACCCGCAGAAGAAGCACCGGCUAACUCCGUGCCAGCAGCCGCGGUAAUACGGAGGGUGCAAGCGUUAAUCGGAAUUACUGGGCGUAAAGCGCACGCAGGCGGUUUGUUAAGUCAGAUGUGAAAUCCCCCG